rnacentral:rRNA from 1 species
UACGAAGGGGGCGAGCGUUGUUCGGAUUUACUGGGCGUAAAGGGCGCGCAGGCGGCUCAUUUUGUCAGGCGUGAAAGCCCCGGGCUUAACCUGGGAACUGCGCUUGAUACGGAUGGGCUAGAGUUCGGGAGAGGAGAGUGGAAUUCCCAGUGUAGAGGUGAAAUUCGUAGAUAUCAGGAGGAAUACCGAUGGCGAAGGCAGGUCUCUGGGCUGACACUGACGCUCAUGCACGAAAGCGUGGGGAGCAAACAGG